GGAUUAAAGUCGAUGCUAUAACUGCUCGGCUCGUUGUCCCAGAAAUCAUAAAAAAUACGACGUGUCACCGCAUAGAUGUGACUCUGUGACAAGUUCAAGCCGAAGUUUUGUGAAAUAUCCAAAAUGCGCGUAUAAAAUUCCAUGCCGAAGUGGAGCAAGUUGGUCAAUAAAGUGCACAAAAACAACACACAAUUACAGCGGAAAUAAAAUUGAGCGACAAGCGGAAAAAAUACGCAAAACAAAGCGCGUUGAAGGCGACAAGAAGUGUUGCUUGAAAAAACAAACAAAAACAAAAAAAAACAGCUGCGUUCGGAUUUAACUGCUAUUGCAGAUGCGGCAAAAUUACGUGAUUUAUUUUUUGAUUUUUUAUUGCAGAGUAAUUUAGCGGCAUUAUGCUUUAAAUUUUGUCUUUUUCUUUUAAUAUUUUCAUUUUAUUUUGCUACAUUCACUUUUUCGCAUACUACUGGUGUUUUUGCGCGCCUCAUAAACGUGAAAUCAAGGUGAUGUCGGCAAUCAGUUUGACAAUCGGGUGUGAAAAUUAAGACGAGACUAUUUUUUUAUUAUAUUUAGUUUGUUUUUCUUUCAUUUUUGCUUGGUUGCCAUUUCUACAUGGCACGCUGUUCGAAAUGUGAUACAGUGGCGGGCCUAUAAUAAGUGCAAGAACGAGUUAUUGUCAGUUGCAGACAAAGCAUACGUUAUCUGAUGCUUAAGUACAGUUCAUAUGAAAUUUUUGCGCCCAAAACAUUUACACACCACUUCAACACACACCGAUAAACGAUCACUGCACUACUACAAGGCACAGCGGCGACUGCGGGGACAUAUGCAAAGCGGGAGAUCCUACCAGCAAUGUUAUUUGAGCAGAUAAUUGCUUCAAAGAUUAACCGCGUACAAUUAGGGAGAGUUCAAAGGUGAAAUUGUAACUACAUGUGAUGCUUCAGAAAGAUCAGAAGAGCAUGAGGAAGUGGAAAGGCACACAAGUGGAGAGAGAAAGUAAUGUUGCCCGAUAAGAAUGAAAGAUUUCAAGUAACAGGCUGUAAAGACAUUUCAAAAUAGUUUGUCGGUAUUGCCACAUUGAAAUUUUUUAUAAAAACUAGUAUUAAUUGAUUUUGCUUGGAAAGUGUUGCCACAAUAAGAAAAAUAUUUUUGGACAAUAAUAAAAUUUUUAGACUAUAGUAAAAUUAUUUAGAAUAUGAGGAGGAAAAUAAGAAUGUUUACCAAAGUUGCCACACUGAUCGUAAUUUAUGCAUUAUAUAAAAAAUAUUUCUAUGAGAAAAUGUAAACAUCAUUACAAAAUAUUUUUUUAGCGUUGCCACAGUGCACAAAACUGAUUUUUAAUGAAUAUUAUACUUUUCUGUGUAAUUAUGAAUGAAAAAAAGGUUUGAAAGAGUUUGUAACAAAGUAAUUCAAAAACCAGUGUUGCCACAGUAAGAAAAAUAUUUUUUUCGAAAAAACAAUAUUAUUUUUAUUGGCUUGUAAAAAGAUAAUUUAUUUCGAACAUAAGAAGGAAAAAAUGAAUGUUUACCAAAACGGCCACAUAAAGCAUUUAUUUAUUUAUUAUAUAUUAAAUAUAAUUAUUAUAUACUAAAUUAUUAUAUAAUAAAUAUAAUUAUUAUAUAAAAAAUAUUUUUAUGCGAAAAUGUAGUUAAAAAUGUAACGAAGCUAGUCUAAUAAAAGAUAACCAUAAUCCCCAUAAUUGAAAAGCAAGUUCUAAAUACUACAUUAUUUAUCUUUUUUUAGUCAUCAAGCAGCCUAACCCAUAAAAGUAAGUUAAAAACUUCGAUUUUUUGAGCGUGGCCGAAAAGUAAUAAAAAAAAGCUUUAUUUAUAAAUAAAACAUGUAAUUUUUCGUUUCAAAUUUAAAAACUUUCUUGAGGCAAAUGCUGUUUUUGCUACUGAAGAUUGCUUUGAGAUCGGAUGACAGAACUUCUUAACCUCAAAUUAAGCGUGAUACAGUUCUUAAACCAAAUUUGUAAUUCUUAUAACUUUUUUUAAAAUAAAAUUUUUAGUGAAAUGGCAACUCUAGCGACUAUUUAAUUUCCAUGCGGUAUUUGUUUUGCUUGGAGAACUAAGGUUAUAUUUACUGGCGUGGGAGAACUGCGAUUAUAUAAAAAUCGUAAAUUUUCGCAUUAUUUUAAGCUACCGCUCUCUUAUGCUAUUUGUCUUCGCACAGAACUAAAUCUUAAAUUAGAAACUUAAAAAAAAAUUGUAUUUUCAACUACUUGUAUAUUUCACGUGCAGCUGCAGACUAUACGCUCUUUUAUGACUCCCACCGAGAGCGCGUCGAUAAGAACUUCGCUGAGAGCAAAGGUUUUAAAAAUAAACUGACACUUUCUACCUAGAUAACGAAUAGGGAGUAACAAGUAGAAUUAAAGAUAUUUUUAUGUGCGUGUGUUUAUUUGUACGGUUUAGAGAAUGCAUAACAAAAAUAUCACCUGCUCAAUGGAGUAGCAAAGGAAAUGCCAACAAGCAAGUGUUGAAUAUGCUGAACAACAAUGCUUGGUUGGCUGGCUACAAGUAAGAGAUAAACCAGAAAAAUGCGCUGCUAUGGCUAAUGCUACAACAAAUAUGUUGAUAAUGCCGCACAAAAGGAAAAAUAACACGAAUAACAACACUAACAACAACAUAGGCAUGUAAAGCAGCAUGAGUGCUGACAUUUUCCGAUAGCACAAGGUUUGAGCGCGCCAAAAAAGAAAAAACUAAAAACAACAAAUACAAAAGAAAUAGACAAUAAGACAAGUGAAGCAGCGUGCAGCAAGCAAGCAGGUAAUAUAAGUAUACGAUAAAAUGCAUUUGUAAAGCCGUUAAGCGUUCAACAGCACGUUCUCUAAGCAAGUAUGAGCGUUUUGCAGAAUGGAAGUGAGCGCUGGGAACUGUUGACGCUGCGUGGCGACGUUCCAAAAUGUGCACUGAAGUGCAUAGUACACAAAGAACCGCUUCUAGCGGCGGUCUACAAUAUCAACAACAACAACAACAAUAAUAAUAGCAAUGAAAUGCUACAUAUUUUUAACUCUAAACAAAUUUGCUAGAAAUUCUCUUAUCUGUAGAAAUUUUCACACCAAAGUGUUAAACACGUACGUGGAAUACGCGAGACAUUAGACGUGCCUUAGAGUUGGCUCUGUCGCCGUGUAAUUAGCAGCAUUUAUAUAACCAAUAACAAAUAGGGAAAGUAAUCAGCAAGUCUGCUAUCAUUCAACUAAAAUUUCGUUCGGCUAAACAAAUAUUGUUGUUGAAAACUAGCAAAACCUUAACCUCAAUUUUCUGGAUAUAUAUAUGCAAUUUAUGCUUACUUUAAAGGUUUUAGCGUACAUGCAAACAAAAAAUUGUGUAUCAAAUAAUUUGGGCGCUAGUUUUAACAUAAUUUUAAUAGAAUCGAAAUUUUAACCUCACUUUUUCAAAAAAAAAAAAAAAAUUAACACAAAAUUGAGGUGAUAUACUAUAUAUUUUUGGUAAAUGUCAAAUAGGCGACAGUUUUAUAACGCACUAAAUGCAUAAAAAACUUGUUUUUAACUUCAUUUGUUGACAACUAGCAAAACCAUAACUUUUUUUUGUUAAAAAUGUAUUUUAAGCUCAAUACAAAGGUUUCGGCAAACAUAUAAACACAAAAAAUGUAGCUCUAAAGCAAUAAAUAUCAUUGUGUGCCUAGUUUCAACCAUAGUUUACAUAAAAAACAAGCUUAAUUUCACUUUUGUUUCAAAAGAAAAAGUAGAUUUAACCUAAAAUUAGUUAUAUAACAUAUUUUUUAAAUAAAGAUUGUAUAAGAAACAAUACUCUGGCCUAUUAAAUGCAUAAAUAAAUAAGUUUUAUAUUUCUUUUGUUGAAAAAUAGUGAAACCAUAACCUCAUUUUUUGUAAACAUGUAUUUUAAGCUUAUCUUAAAUGUAUUAGCACAUCUAUCAUUAUAACCAAUAUAAUUCUUUAGCUUAAUUAUAACUAUUUUCACCGUAAUUUAUAUAAAAAAAAUCAUAACCUCACUUUUUUAAAAGUAAAUUAAUAAGUAUAACCUUA